UGGCUCUUUCUGAAGAAGGAGACUUUGAAGCUGCCAGGAGACUGGGACCUGACUUCCAUCAAAAUCGUCUUAAGGAAGUGGUAGAGGCAGUGAAUAACAUUGCCCUGGUGGACAGUGUGUUUAUCCAUCACUCCCCUUCUGAACCUGAUUCCUGCAGUGCUACACUUCCUACUGGGACUUCUGCUAGACCCAAAGAGGACUCCAGUUUUAACCUCCCAAACACCAAGCUAACUCUGCCAAUGUGUGAAUUGGCCCUAUCGUCUAUAUGGACAUCCCUGGAAAGUAUUUUGCCAAGCUUCUAGGUUUUGUCUAUCACUUGGCUACAGCAGCAUCACCAACUUUGAGGCUUCCAUGAUUCCUGAGCCUUCUCAGGAUGCUACCUUGAGACAAGAUUCCUUCUACCUCCUGUACUCCAGAGCCUUCUGUAGGAAAGGAGAGAACUCAGAGGUGUUUUCAUUCUGGUUAUCCUGGGGUGGACCCAGAAAGCCAGUGAUUCCCUCUCCUGUGGGUUUGCUGGUGACUCUGCCUAUCCCAGCUGCUGCUGCUGCUAAGGAGUGGAUGUUCAACAGAGUUGCUGGUGACUUCUUACUGAGACUCCUGCUUGACCCAUAGAAGGACUCCAGUUGUGUGAGAUCUACUUUGGCCUUGUUCUUGCCCCUUUCAAACCCUCCCUACUCUCAACUAAUAAUUUAAGGAGUUAGUUUAGACUAGUUAUACAAAGUUAUAAGGGUUUUAAUCUUUGUUUUGGGGUAAAGGUUAGUUAUUCCCUGAUUCCCUUUCCUUUCUUCCUUUAGUUUAAUAAACCUGUUAUUUUGUUACA
rnacentral:lncRNA from 1 species